rnacentral:misc_RNA from 1 species
GGGGAGUUGUGAAUUGGGAUUGGAAGAAAGCGAGUGGUUGUGUUUUGGGACAACAAUGAACAGAACCGUCCUCUCCAUCGCUAAAAGAGCUGCAGCUACAGUUCAAAAGUCAGCUUCUGCUGCACCCAAUAGUAAACUAUUUGUUGCAGGUUUCUCUCUCUCCCUCUCACACCCAUGUAUUAUUUAUGCAUUUUUUAUAAUUGCGCAGAUAUUUUACUCAAGGGAGGGCAUUUGUGUAUGUUGAAGGUUUGUCAUGGUCAGUUGAUGAGAAAUCCUUAAAAGAUGCUUUCUCUUCAUUCGGAGAUGUUACUGAAGGUAUUGAUAUACAAUCCACCAUGAAAAUCGUAUAGCUGAAUAGCUUAUUUUUAAUUAGGGAUUCAUCCACCUGUUCGACUAAAUGCCUAAAUGAACAUAAAUGAUUACCUUCUUUUUUGAUGUUCAUGGUUCAGUUAGGAUAAUGUAUGAUAAAGACAGUGGUAGGUCAAGAGGCUUUGGUUUUGUCAAUUUCUCGAAAGAAGAUGAGGCUAUAUGUGCAAAAGAUGCCAUGGAUGGGAAGGCAUUGUUGGGUCGACCAUUGAGAAUAAGCUUUGCUCUUGAAAGGGUUCGUGGUGGACCAGUGAUUGUCCCUCGCCUUUCAGAUAGUGGAGAUGACUAUAAUCGCAAUGGUUGAAAGUUGAAACUCCUUUGAAGUAAUGUUUUUUAACAAAAAUAUGAACGCAAACCUUUCAAUUCUUGACACUGGUCUUAAAUAUUACAUUUUUUAACAUACCUUUUAGUUAUUGUGCACUCAAUAAACACAAGAAAAACAAAAAUAUUCAAUGCCAAGUAGUAUAUUUAUAGUUCAUUUGUCAAUUCUGUUUAUAGAUAAAAAUUAGAAUAUGGGAUAAAUUAUUUCAGUACCCAGUAGGGUUGAGUACAUUUUGAUUUUUACUGAAAAAUUAAAUUGAAUUAAUUUAAUUCAAUUUUUAAUUUUGAUUAUUCGGUAAAUCGAUUUGAUUUCAGUUUAGCAGCUAAUUGGAGAGUUGAGUAUUUUUUGGCAAAAAUCUUGGCUUUAUCUAUACUCUCUGUGCUUUGUUUUUGGAUGGCCUCGAG